rnacentral:rRNA from 1 species
UGGGGAAUAUUGCACAAUGGAGGGAACUCUGAUGCAGCGACGCCGCGUGAGUGAUGAAGGAAUUCGUUUCGUAAAACUCUGUUCUAUGGGAAGAAAAGGACUGUACCAUAGGAGAAAGCUCCGGCUAAAUACGUGCCAGCAGCCGCGGUAAUACGUAUGGAGCGAGCGUUGUCCGGAAUUAUUGGGCGUAAAGGGUGCGCAGGCGGCUUUACAAGUUGGAUGUGAAAUAUUGUGGCUCAACCACAAACGUGCAUCCAAAACUGCAAAGCUUGAGUUAAGGAGAGGUAAGUGGAAUUCCUGGUGUAGCGGUGGAAUGCGUAGAUAUCAGGAGGAAUACCGGUGGCGAAGGCGACUUACUAGACUUAAACUGCCGCUCAGGCACGAAAGCGUGGGGAGCAAACAGG